UACGUAGGCAGCGAGCGUUGUUCGGAGUUACUGGGCGUAAAGCGCACGUAGGCGGAUUUGUAAGUCAGGGGUGAAAUCCCGGGGCUCAACCUCGGAACUGCCUUUGAUACUGCGAAUCUCGAGUCCGGAAGAGGUGAGUGGAAUUCCUAGUGUAGAGGUGAAAUUCGUAGAUAUUAGGAAGAACACCAGUGGCGAAGGCGGCUCACUGGUCCGGUACUGACGCUGAGGUGCGAAAGCGUGGGGAGCAAACAGG
rnacentral:rRNA from 1 species